rnacentral:lncRNA from 1 species
AUCGGCAAAUCAUGUCGCACGAUAAAUCUUAGAUUCUGCUAAACGUUUUAUUAUUAUUAUAUCUGAUAUGAAGAAAGAUAGCGUCUAUACUAGUUAGAAAUAAAAAGAGAGAGGUCAAUACGCAGAUUGCGUUUUGACUUGAAACGUAUGCUGCGUUUACGCACGGUGUCGCUACGCGUCAUGUGUGAUCACGUGUCUCGCAAUGCAUUUUGGUGGGGGGAUCGGUGUAAACGGCCGCCAUUGAUGUAAGAGAAAGAGAUACAA